AUACGUAGGGGGCGAGCGUUGUCCGGAAUGAUUGGGCGUAAAGGGCGCGUAGGCGGCGCGGUAAGUCUGGAGUGAAAGUCCUGCUUUCAAGGUGGGAAUUGCUUUGGAUACUGCCGCGCUUGAGUGCAGGAGAGGUUAUCGGAAUUCCCGGUGUAGCGGUGAAAUGCGUAGAGAUCGGGAGGAACACCAGUGGCGAAGGCGGGUAACUGGACCGCAACUGACGCUGAGGCGCGAAAGUGUGGGGAGCAAACAGGAUUAGAUACCCUGGUAGUCCACACUGUAAACGAUGAGUGCUAGGUGUAAGAGGUAUCGACCCCUUUUGUGCCGGAGUCAACACAAUAAGCAUUCCGCCUGGGGAGUACGGCCGCAAGGUUGAAACUCAAAGGAAUUGACGGGG
rnacentral:rRNA from 1 species